UCAAAAACAAAGUUGAAAACUUAUUUGAUGAAUUUGUUGGCUUCGAAAAAUUAAGUUCCUAUGGACAGAGCUAUGUGGACCAUCUUAAAACUUUUGUUAAAAG